CUACUUGACCUAGCGGCGGACGGGUGAGUAAUGCUUAGGAAUCUGCCUAUUAGUGGGGGACAACAUCUCGAAAGGGAUGCUAAUACCGCAUACGUCCUACGGGAGAAAGCAGGGGACCUUCGGGCCUUGCGCUAAUAGAUGAGCCUAAGUCGGAUUAGCUAGUUGGUGGGGUAAAGGCCUACCAAGGCGACGAUCUGUAGCGGGUCUGAGAGGAUGAUCCGCCACACUGGGACUGAGACACGGCCCAGACUCCUACGGGAGGCAGCAGUGGGGAAUAUUGGACAAUGGGGGGAACCCUGAUCCAGCCAUGCCGCGUGUGUGAAGAAGGCCUUUUGGUUGUAAAGCACUUUAAGCGAGGAGGAGGCUACCGAGAUUAAUACUCUUGGAUAGUGGACGUUACUCGCAGAAUAAGCACCGGCUAACUCUGUGCCAGCAGCCGCGGUAAUACAGAGGGUGCAAGCGUUAAUCGGAUUUACUGGGCGUAAAGCGCGCGUAGGUGGCCAAUUAAGUCAAAUGUGAAAUCCCCGAGCUUAACUUGGGAAUUGCAUUCGAUACUGGUUGGCUAGAGUAUGGGAGAGGAUGGUAGAAUUCCAGGUGUAGCGGUGAAAUGCGUAGAGAUCUGGAGGAAUACCGAUGGCGAAGGCAGCCAUCUGGCCUAAUACUGACACUGAGGUGCGAAAGCAUGGGGAGCAAACAGGAUUAGAUACCCUGGUAGUCCAUGCCGUAAACGAUGUCUACUAGCCGUUGGGGUCUUUGAGACUUUAGUGGCGCAGCUAACGCGAUAAGUAGACCGCCUGGGG
rnacentral:rRNA from 1 species